rnacentral:piRNA from 1 species
GCUGUGCUUGUAAUCUGGGGGUGU